GGUACAUAACACGAGGUGCCACUGUAUCUAUAUAUAGAUAUAUAUAUAGAUACAGUGGUACCUCGGGUUAAGUACUUA